rnacentral:rRNA from 1 species
AGAGUUUGAUCCUGGCUCAGGACGAACGCUGGCGGCGUGCCUAAUACAUGCAAGUCGAACGCAAAACUUUUAACUGAUGCUUGCAUCGACCUAAAGUUUUGAGUGGCGGACGGGUGAGUAACACGUGGGUAACCUGCCCAUCAGAGGGGGACAACACUUGGAAACAGGUGCUAAUACCGCAUAAUACAGAGAACCGCAUGGUUCUUUGUUGAAAGGCGCUUCUGGUGUCGCUGAUGGAUGGACCCGCGGUGCAUUAGCUAGACGGUGAGGUAACGGCUCACCGUGGCAAUGAUGCAUAGCCGACCUGAGAGGGUGAUCGGCCACAUUGGGACUGAGACACGGCCCAAACUCCUACGGGAGGCAGCAGUAGGGAAUCUUCGGCAAUGGACGAAAGUCUGACCGAGCAACGCCGCGUGAGUGAAGAAGGUUUUCGGAUCGUAAAACUCUGUUGUUAGAGAAGAACAGGAGCGAUAGUAACUGCUCGCUCUUUGACGGUAUCUAACCAGAAAGCCACGGCUAACUACGUGCCAGCAGCCGCGGUAAUACGUAGGUCCCGAGCGUUGUCCGGAUUUAUUGGGCGUAAAGCGAGCGCAGGCGGUUUAAUAAGUCUGAAGUUAAAGGCAGUGGCUUAACCAUUGUUCGCUUUGGAAACUGUUAGACUUGAGUGCAGAAGGGGAGAGUGGAAUUCCAUGUGUAGCGGUGAAAUGCGUAGAUAUACGGAGGAACACCGGUGGCGAAAGCGGCUCUCUGGUCUGUAACUGACGCUGAGGCUCGAAAGCGUGGGGAGCAAACAGGAUUAGAUACCCUGGUAGUCCACGCCGUAAACGAUGAGUGCUAGGUGUUAGGCCCUUUCCGGGGCUUAGUGCCGCAGCUAACGCAUUAAGCACUCCGCCUGGGGAGUACGACCGCAAGGUUGAAACUCAAAGGAAUUGACGG